rnacentral:rRNA from 1 species
AUUGAACGCUGGCGGCAGGCCUAACACAUGCAAGUCGAACGAGGGGCGGACGGGUGCGUACUGUCUGGGAAACUGCCCGAUGGAGGGGGAUAACUACUGGAAACGGUAGCUAAUACCGCAUACCAUCGGAUGUGCCCAGUUGGGAUUAGCUAGUAGGUGGGGUAACGGCCCACCUAGGCGACGAUCCCUAGCUGAUCUGAGAGGAUGACAAGCCACACUGGAACUGAGACACGGUCCAGACUCCUACGUGAGGCAGCAGGAGGGAAUAUUGCACAAUGGGCGCAAGCCUGAUACAGCCAUGCCGCGUGUAUGAAGAAGGCCUUCGGGUUGUAAAGUACUUUCAGUGGGGAGGCGUUACUCGCAGAAGAAGCCACGGCUAACUCCGUGCCAGCAGCCGCGGUAAUUC